CCCUUAGAUGUUCUGGGCCGCACGCGCGCUACACUGACGAUGGCAACGAGUUUUUCCUUCGCCGAAAGGUGUGGGUAAUCUUUUGAAACAUCGUCGUGCUGGGGAUAGAUCAUUGCAAUUUUUGAUCUUGAACGAGGAAUUCCUAGUAAGCGCGAGUCAUCAGCUCGCGUUGAUUACGUCCCUGCCCUUUGUACACACCGCCCGUCGCGACUACCGAUUGAAUGGUUUAGUGAGGACUCCUGAUUGGCGCCGCCGCCCCGGCAACGGAGCAGCGGACUGCCGAAAAGUUGUUCAAACUUGAUCAUUUAGAGGAAGUAAAAGUCGUAACA
rnacentral:rRNA from 1 species